rnacentral:rRNA from 1 species
UCUGGUUCAGAACGAACGCUGGCGGCGUGCUUAACACAUGCAAGUCGAACGCGAAAGGGGACUUCGGUCCUGAGUAAAGUGGCGCACGGGUGAGUAACGCGUAGAUAACCUGUCUUUAUGUCUGGAAUAAUACGCCGAAAGGGGUACUAAUACCGGAUAUUUUUGCAUUGCAUAAGCAGUGUAAGCAAAGGUGGCCUCUGACAUAAGCUACUGCAUAAAGAGGGGUCUGCGUACCAUUAGCUAGUAGGUGGGGUAAAGGCCUACCUAGGCUACGAUGGUUAGCGGGUCUGAGAGGAUGAUCCGCCACACUGGCACUGGAACACGGGCCAGACUCCUACGGGAGGCAGCAGUGAGGAAUAUUGCGCAAUGGGGGCAACCCUGACGCAGCGACGCCGCGUGAGUGAAGGAAGGCCUUCGGGUCGUAAAGCUCUGUCAAAGGGAAAGAAGUGCAUGGUGGUUAAUACCUGCCAUGUUUGACGGUACCCUUAAAGGAAGCACCGGCUAACUCCGUGCCAGCAGCAGC